UCAGGGCAUACAAACAGUUUCAAUGGAAAAAUGACUAGGCACUCAAUAGGGGGCAGACAAGAUACUAAGCAUUACGUUGCUGGUCAGAGUCAGCAUUACAUUGGUCCAAAUGAUCUAGAAAUGCUUGCCAUAUACUGUAAAACUUAUUAAGAUUACCAAUAACUCCAUACUGGACUCUUUCCAUAUGCAAUAUUCCAGUAAGAUAGUUCAACCAGGUCUUAAACUGAGGAACAGUGUCCGAUUUCCACAGCCUCAGAAUGACACUCUUAGCAAUAAUCAUUCUGUAAAUGAUUGUACUUUGUACAGACACAUUAUGAUCUAACAGAGAAAUAGAAUAACCAAAUAAUGCAAUUUCUGGAUCAGGUGUAAAAUACAACCAUACAUAUCCGAGAACCAUUUAAAUAUGUCACACCAGAAAUCGUAUAGUUUUGGACAUGUCCAAAAGAGAUGGGUCAGAGAGCCUUCUGCAGAUUUACACCUGUCACAAAUAGGAGAGAUAGUAGGAAAAAUUCUGUGCAAUUUAGAUUUUGAAUAGUGCAGUCUAUGCAUCACCUUACAUUGAAUUAACUGAUGCCUAGAACUAAUAGAGCAAGAUCGAAUCCUACUGAGGCUCUCCUCCCAUACAUCAGCCUCAAUCUGCAUAAACCCUUUUUUAUAGAUUUUAAUGACAUGUUUCCACGGUUUUUAGCAUGGUAAAUCUACCAAAAAGGUUAUAUUUGAAAUUUUCAUAAAACAUAAAGCUUGGGCUAUAUUAACUUUGCAAAAUGAAAAUAAAAUAAUAUAAAGCUAAUAGUCAACUUGUUGCUAUAUGCUGAAUUAGUUGUAGUUCACCACUAUAUGCUUACCCAACCAUAUUUAUAUACAACCUCAAAAAUGUGAGAAGUGUCCAUUAAAUAAUGGUAAAAAAUAAUAAGUGUUCCUGUGGCUCAGUGGUAGAGCAUUGUGUUAGUAGCGCAAAAGGCCAUGGGUUCAAUUCCCAGGGAACACACAUACUGAUAAAAAAAUAACAAUAAUGUAUAACCUGAAUGCACUGUAAGUUGCUUUUAAAGCGUCUGCUAAAUGCAUAAAUGUAAAUUGUAAAUGUACAUGACUGUAAAUCCCAAAUUGGUUCAAAGGUCCUUUGGAUGAACAAAUUAUUUGUUCAUAUAAAUAAGCAAGAGUUGCUGUAUAAACUUUUUAAUAUAUUUUGUAUUACUAUGUCAAAUUUUAGGGGUUGAUGGUAAUAUAUUCUUUCAUUGUAAGAAGGUUCUGCACUUUACCCUACUUAUAUUUAUAAAAAAAAUAAAUAAAUAAAUAAAUGACAACUUGCAUCUGGUCUGUUGAUAGACAGAUAGACCUUUUCACAGGCGUCCAAUCACAGCUGACUUCCGGAAAAGGGGAAGUAACCAAUGGCGUUAGAGAUAACAAUUAAAACAGCAAGCCCCGCCCCACGACUGACAAAAAUAGAAGUGUUUGCGCGAGCGGGUGAGAGAAGAUCUAGCGCGAGGGCUUGUAUUGCGCGCAGAGGACAAGCGAUGCGCGCGCGAGUGUUUGAAAUUAGCUCGCGUGCUCCCGUUUCCUCGCGUGUAGAUCUGUUUUCCUCUCGCGGAAGUGAUUUACCGCGCGCGCCAGCAUAAGUGGUGCGCUCGGUUAUUAAUGGCAUAGAUUUGACGCCAUAGAAUCACUGGUCAAUAAAGCGCUUUACUGCAGCGACUCAACCAAAUGCAUCUUAUACGAGAUAAAUAAUAUAUACACGAUAUAUAUAAACCGGCUGAAAUGUUUUGAAAUCACUUGUAUCCUACCUGAUCGAAAAAAAUCCAGUCUUUCACUGUGCGUCAGUUUGAGUCUUGUUAAAGUUUUAAAUCCUUGCCGCCAAGAUGCUCCUCUGUCGGUCACGGAUUAUGGAAAGUGAAACUUAAAUUUAUAGGGGUGGUUGGAUUUAUUCACGCACGUUAAAAUAUUUAUUUAAUGCUUUUUUUUUAUCUUUUCAGAUUCUUAUUUACAGCAUUAUCAUAUAGGCUGUAUAUUAACUUAUUGGGAGAAAACCGGUAGUUCGAUGUGAAAUCAGACAUUGAGCACCCCCAUAUAGCCAAAAUGGCAUGAUCAUAACACCCCGCGAAUAUUCGACUGUGAGAUUGGGAGUCGAAUCAGGCUCCUCGAAUCGAAGCAUGGAAUCGUCGACUAUUCGGGGUCACCCCUAAUCUGAUGGCACAAGAAUAUAAAAAAAAAGAAUAUGUCAGCCGUCCAUGACAGGCCUAAACCAGUCAAGAGAGUCAUCUCCCUAUUGGUUUCUGAAAACAGGUCUGCCCACAUUGUAUCAGCAGAAAACAAGGAUGUGGUUUACAUGGCCAAUUCUCUAGCUUCCUCUUGAUGCUGGCAGAUUUAGGUAAGUGGCAC